rnacentral:lncRNA from 1 species
CGGAAACAGUCUUUUUAUUCUAGCAAAGAGAUUGAAAAGCAAGGUCCAGAAAUGUCACCAUUUGAAAUAAAUUAUAAAACUGUUGUUGCAAUGAGAGAGAUAGGAAAAAUUCAUCCUGGUUAGGAGAAAUUUUGUGGUUAAUAAACUUACCUUCUCCAAUGAACAUAAAAGCAUUUAAUGAUGUUCUAGAUAAAAUUCAUAUCAUAUACCAAAGUGUAGUUGAUGUGAAAAUGAAAAAUGCAGCAAAUGAAUUUUGAUAUCUUAACAACGAUAUCCAAUGAAAUGAUUUUGAUAUUAAUGUAAUAGCUGAUGUUGUUGUUUCCUGUGAUGGAACUUGGCAAAAAAGGGGUCAUUCCUCACUUAAUGGUGUUUUUACUGUUAUUGCUUGUGACUCAGGGAAAUGUGUUAACUCUUGAGUUCUUUCAAAAAUAUGCAAUGCCUGUACAUCAUGGGAAUCAAAGAAAGAUAUCCAGAACUUUAUGAAAAUUUUUUGGAAACCCAGGAUUGUUUAAAUAAUCACGAAGGUUCUGCUGGAUUUAUGAAAGUUUAUGAAAUUGUAGAUUGUUUAUGAAAUAUAUCGACAAAAGGGAACUUCGAUAUACUCAUUACAUUGGAAACGGGAAUUCCAAAGCACAUGCUGAGGUACACCAGGUACAUUUGCUACUCAGUACUGUACCAAAAUAGACCAAGAAAGAAUAAAGAUGAGGAGAAAAAGUUGCUUGACUCAAUAAAACAAAGAAGAAAGCUGCUUUGCGCUGAACGAAAAGGUUUUACAGAUAUAGUAAAUGAAAGUGAAGGUUUAAUGAAUUUAAUUAAAGAAAACCAGUUUAAGGCCUACAAAAAAGUUUUUUUUAGGCCUUAAACCGGUUUUCUUACAAAAGCUUCAAUAGUUUGUUAAAUUAUUUGAUUUUGCCAGGGUGAGUGUAAUCAUCUGAUAUUAAAAAGCUGUGAAAAGUUCAUGAUCAUAACAUUAUUAGUUUACUGGCUGUUUAUCGCAGCGCGUAGUCCAUAUUUAGGGUUCAUGGACCCCAAAUUUUGACCAAAAUAAAAUUUUUUCAAUUUUUUUUGUUUUACUGUGCCUUAAAUAUAAAAUACUAUUUCUUAUAUGAAAAUCAUAAAAUAUGAGUGCAUUUUUAAACUUUUGAUUUUAUUAGUAUAGGAACACCUUAACAGAUGGUACACAUUUUUUAAUUCAGUGAUAAAAUUAAGAGAUAAAUAUUUUGAAUCCCUUAUCUAAGACGCCUGCAAAAUUUGAAAAAAAUGAUUAAAAUCCACUAAUAAACACUUGAACGAACUAAUAGCAAAUACUACGAGUGAAAUGCGUCAUCAUCAUUAGAGAAAUUCCCAGGUUGAAAACUUACGUGAAAUAAUUUUAUCAUUAAAAUAAAAAAAAUCUCUUGGCAAAUUCGUCAUCUGCGUAACAGGAAGAACAAAUAUUAAACUGAGGAUGCCUUUAAAGUACCAAAUGGACUCGAUCACUCAAUAUAGUUUUAAAGAAAAGAUCCAUAGAAAAUGCUCCAGAAAAUAUGUAAAUCAGAACUACAGUAAUGAUGAUUACGAUGCUGAUUCCGAAACAGAGAUUAUUGAAAGUAUUUCCAGAAAACUUACAUGUGCGAGUUAUGCAAACAAAAUUUCAAACUGUUGUACUGAUGAGAUGAUGCUGUCACCAGAUUUAAAAAAGAAAAACAAUAGUUGCGCAACAGCUUUAAACCACUAUGCUCCAUCGUUUUCAAACGCGCGCAGAAACUUUAAUAGUCGGUACAAAUUGUUUUCUCCUUUAUUUGGUUCACCCUACAAACAUUCAUUUACACCAAAAGGUUCACGUUUAAAAAGAAAAAUUGAUGUUAUUUUAUACGACACUUGCAACAUGCAACAGCGCAAAAAAGUUUGUAAAACGAUGAAAUGCGAGAAAUCAACUGAGAGAUGGAGUCAACAAUUUCAAAAAGUUGAAAUGCAACAAUUAAUAGAGUAGCAAUUUAUUUUUAAAUUCUUUGUUAAAACAAAUGACUAUGUGCUACGUGUUAAACUUUUAAAAUAAUAUUAAAAAUUUCAGCAAAUAAAAUAAAACAUAUAAUUUAUAUAAGCAAAUAUUAUAUACCACAAU